rnacentral:lncRNA from 1 species
AAUCAGACUAAUCUUGGAGGAAACUCGAUCUCGAAAAUUCGACACUUACUGCUGUCUUGCCUGAAAUUGCAUAAUUUUUUGUGCAUUUACGGCUUUCUCAUACGACUCGUUUUCAUGAAAUUAGAUGAAUUUUGAUGUUUUCGUUUUUUCAGUGAUUUCAUCUGAAAUGGAUCAGACUGACCUUUGGAGGAAACCCGAUUUCGAUAGUUCGACAUUUACUGCUCUCUUGGCUAUCACGGCGGUAUUGGCUAUGGAUGUUCGAUUUCUCUCAAUGACUUGCACUAUUGUGCGCCGCGCGUGGUCGUGUGGUGGCCAUGCGAUCGGAUCCGCGGCCGCGACGCGGCGUGGUCCGCGUGGUUUCGCUUAUCAUCAGCUCUGUUCAGUGUCUUGUCAUCAGCCGGUCCCGUCGAGUCGCUGUCCUCCGCGAAACGCAACACGCCCGCAAAAACAAGUUUGUGGAGGGAUUUAUCUUUUAGCUCAAUGGCCUAUCGCUGAUGCUCUACUGAAUUUUGCUACAACCAGCAGCCUCAGUGCCAAAAUUGCGGUCUUUUUGUGGGUAAUGGACUACUUUAUUAACGGUGUUCUAGCGACCAUUACUGCCGUCAUUUUAUUGAUUGGAGUCCAUAAGAACAACUCGAGGAAAGUCUUGCCUUACCUGAUAGUAGGCAUUGCCAGCGCGAUUAAACUAGGCAUGGAGAUUCCACUCUUCACCUUCACCGAUAUCGGCACCAGCGUGGUAAUUAAGAUCCACGACAUCCAGGCAAAUUUGUUCCCACAUCCACUUGUUUUGUGCAUUGCACUCGCCAUAAACUUCUACUUCCUUGCUGUUAUUAACAGUCACUACGUCGAAAUGGAGGGGACACUCCCUCGUUAAGGAAACAAUAGUUUCAUCGAGAGUUACCUGAAGGGAAACGACCCACCCCACGAGUGUACAAUUUACAAUUUAUUUUUGUUCCAGCCUGAUAUUAUAGUGUAAGGUUUAUUUUGCAUUUAUUCAAUGCGGUUUUGUUAAAUACUGUCGCUGCAAAUGUUACUGUUAGUGUAAGUGAUUCAUUGUAAUUUUGUGCCAGUACUUAAAUGGGUAAUAACUCAGUUUUUUCAACAUUUUAUUUGCAUUUCUUAAAGGAACUUUUCUUUUUUCAGUGCGGUUACCUACAAGUUUCCUUCGCCCAUGCUUAAUUCGUUCAGUUUCCAUAUUCCGACUGAAAUUAUCUCUCAUUCGGUCUGAUUAAUUUUCCGCACAAAUGCCCAAUCUUAUCAUUUUCCAGUAUCAAAUUUUAAAACAUUUAGAUUUUAUGCAGUUGCUUCUACGUUACUCUUCCUACUUUACGCAAAUGUUUGCGGUUACCGUGUUUUUUUUUUAAAAAAAAAUUCGCUAUUACUUUAAUCUAAGUUUUCGUACUUGCAUGCUUAUUACGAAGUUUAAUAAGUUUACCGAGAGCUUUCUAUUUUGUAUUCAUUCUCAAGUCUUUAAUUUUAUUUUUCGUAAAUAUUGUUUUUCCUCAAUAAAUUUACAACGUUCUAUUUUCUAAUAAUAUUUUCAUUUCUUCAUUUAGAUUAUUUUUCUCCUAGAUAAGACGUGUUGGUCACAACUCAAUUCAAGAUUAAGUUUCCACCCAUUUUUGAGAGAAAAAAGAUGAUCUCCGUUUUUUCUCGGCGUGCUUUCUACCUAUUUUUAAGGUUAUUCCAGAAGUGGAAUAUCGCAGCAGGCGGACACUAUUUUGACCGAGCCAGGCUCCGACAACAAAUCUCAUCGCGGCAAAGCAAGGUUAUUCUUCAGGCCUACGGCGCACGGUGGAUCGAGUGAAUUCGAGAGGUUGAUUAUGAAAUUUUUGACUAAAACUGCAAAUUUUAAUGUUAAUUUCGCUAUAUCUUAAAUAUCAAGGGGUGCUUUCAGAAGAAAAUUUCACGAGGAAACCAAUUGAACCACUUUUAAACCCUCGAAGUUUUGUAUGAACGGUGUUAUAGGGUUGAAAGUUUCCAAAUUUUGUCGAACCUCUCCUAUUGACUCGAUCCAUUGCGCAGCGCACAGUGGAGCGAACCAAUAUCAUAUAUACUGCCGCGCUAAGGAUAAACGCCGUAUUAACCUUCAGGCAUUGCCAAAUUGUAAGUCCCUAAAACUUUCAAGGAAAAAUAUUCAUUACUUUUCUCAAAAAUAAACAUUUUAUUGAAGGAAAUUUGGCAACUCUCGAAUGUUCAUACGGCGUUCUUCCUUAGCACGGCAGCAUGGGUCACGCAUGUGAAAACUUUAAGCUUAUGGUUAAUUAAUAGACAAUCUAGAGGUUUGAAAAGGGAUUCCAUUGAUUUUCUUGUUGCUUUUCGGCGAAAAAGCAUGCUCUUGAAAUUUAAAUUGUGACGAGGCGAGCAUUCAAAUUUUCAAUUUUCAGUCCAACAUUUCAUGCCCGAUCUCUCAAUCGCUCGUUUCACUGUGCGGUAGCGGAGUCCGUAGGUUAUAACUCAAAUAAAAUUCCAUAAUUUUCAGUUUUUUCCUCAAUUAAAAUAAUAAUGUGUGAAUAGAAGUCUUCAGCUGUCUUCUCUCUGGGCUCAGCUGGCACAUUUUUGCACGAUUAGAUCGGGAUUUCCCGGCAGAAUGGAUUAUUUGGACGGAUUUCUGUCAAACAGAACUAUGCAUUAAGACAUAAGCCCUGAGACCCAUAAGAAUAUAUGCGUAACAGGGCUCACGCUUUAAUGCACAUAGUUCCGUUUGGUAGAAAUACGUCCAUUUUUGUUUGUAGGAUGAUUCCACCGUGGUUUCGAGUGCGAACCUGGUUUACUUUAAAAGGAAAAUUUCGAAAAUUCCAAACUGGAAGCGUCGUUGAGUUCUCCUCUGAUUUUGCGUAAAAUCAGCAAAAUUUUGGACUGAAAUAGCACAGUUAUAUCCAGAGGGUACGGGUUCGAUCGACAUGCAUUGACUGAAAAAUGAGAGCGUGAAUUGAUCGACCAAUUAGGUGGGUACAAGAAUCAUCGACACAAUUCGAUCGAAAAAUGAAAACACAAUUCAAUCGACAUAGAUUCAAUCGACAUAAAUUCAAUCGACACAACUCGAUCGACAUUUUUUUCAUCGACAUACUUUCAGUCGAAACAUUUUUCAUCGACAUAAAUUUUAUCGACGUAUUUUCGAUCGACAUAUACUCGAUCGACAAUCUUUACGCCGACACAUUUCCGCUCGAAAAUAAAAAUUUUAAAUCAUUUAAAAAAACCCUUAUGAUAUGAUGAACUUAGAUAUCACUUAGAUAUAACUAGAACUUAGAUAUCACAAUUUUACAAAAGGUUUGAAUCGAAUGUCACACAAAUUCACAAGAUGCACAGUAUUUAGAGAAUGGCACGACGUAUCAGGGGUCUGCAGGAGGGACAAGACCU